UCUGAUUUGUCCCGGCAGAUCUCAGCGGAGCUGCAGAACGAGCUUCUGCUGAGUUUGUUGGACACGGACAGUGACGUGGUGGAUUAUCUGCUGAGGAGGAAAACACCACAGUGUGAAGACGUGAAGAGCUCCAGUGGAGAAAAUUCUCCGUACGAUAACAACUCUCCGCUGCUCUCCGACUGGUUUCAUCCAUCAGGACCCGAGGAUCAGAGUCCCACGAACCUCCAGCAUGCUCUCGAGAGGAACAACACUGUGAACUUCUGCCUCUCCCCCUCACGAGCCGGCGCCGGUGGGUUUAUUCACUAAUCAAGAGACUUCAGGGUUAUUAUAGUUCAUUCAAAUUAAAACCAGAGAAAAACCUUCAUCACUUGCAAUGAAAUACAUUUUAACUGAGACAAAAUAAAAUAUAAAAAAAACUUUAAAUUAUCAUUAUUAUAAU
rnacentral:lncRNA from 1 species